CGGGCGGGGCCGGUGGAUGGCACUCGCACCUGACGUUCCCUCUCGCUGUCCGUCUCGCCCGGCCCCAGCCGGCCCUCCGGUUUGCUCUUCCCGUAACUUUGUUCAGAAGGUGGGAGGGGAGGGGAAGCGCCGAGGGGCCCCCGGAGAGAGACGGGAGAGCGACGAGGACCAGGAGGCCAGACCCGAGAGCAAGUCCCCGAGCGCCCCCGGGCUGGGCGCGCGGCUGGGAGGCGUCGCCGCCGCUGCCGCCGCCGCCGCCGGAUGCGCUCUGCUUAGCGGGGCUGCCGGGGGCGCCUGAAGGCCACCGCGCCAAGGACACGCGGCCGCCCGCGCUCGCGCUCCACCGCCCCGGCGCCGCCAGAGCCGGAGCCGAGCCGGCGAGCGGAGCGGCGGGGAGCGCGGGCGCAGGGCGGCAGCAGGGAGGGCGCGCGGGAGGCGGCCCCUCCUCGGCGAGCCAUGCGUGCCGCGGGCAGCUGAGGAGCCGCCGCGCGCCGCUGCCAAGUCUCCGCUCGGCUUUUGUCUUGCCCUCCAGUGAAUGGGAAGAUGGAGAUGGAUGUGGAGGGAGUUUCUCCGCGCCCGGAGCCCAUCCCCCGGCCCCAGGGGGCUGGCGGAGCCUGCCAGGCGCCGCCACCGCCGCCCCAGCCCCAGCCCCAGCCGCAGCCGCUAGCUCAGGAUGAACUGCCCGGCGAGAGUGCGGGACCCGAGGACGGCGACGAUCCCGAGGCGAGACCCCGCGGCGAGAAAGGGGAGAGCAAGUAUUUCAGUGACAAGAUCCACUGAGGAGAGUUGGGGCAAGGCUGGCUGAGGUUCUCAAGGAGCUGUUUUGAGUUCAGGUGCCCACAUGGCAAUGGAAUGAUGCCUCCUGACCAUUCAGACCUUUGAGACCUCUGGGCGGUCUUAGAAAUCACCUCAAGCCUCCCAACGAGGAUCCGACCACCUGGGGGACUUCCAGGGAAAGGUAGCAGACAUAUCAUGGACUGAAAGGUGAUGGGUACCCCAAAGAGCUCACUACAAGACCUCAAAGACUCCAAGCCACCGGCUGCUGCAACAUAUAAAGCCACCAGUCUGGAGAGGCAGCAGGAAGCAAGAAGCAAGCCUGGAGGAGGUGAGGAAACAUCACUCUUUCCUCUGCCCUUGACUCCAUCGACCUUUAGCUGUCAGAUGGUUUGGGCCCAGGACUGAUGGGCUUUCUCCUGUGUGUCCUUUCACAGGCUCUAUUGUUGUUAUUGUUUUUGUUGUUUUUGGCCAGAGGACAGACCACCUUCUCAGGUGUCCUGGGGAACUGCUGAAGGACAGUGAGGAAGAUGCUGCUGGUCCCCAGGACAGAAACACAGCAGCUGGAAGCAAGAGGCACCUAGAGUGGGACUCAAGCCCUUCAGACGGAGCUGUCUGAGCUGUGGUGCCCAAUUGGACUGUUUUUGCUUUGCCAUCAUUUGCAUAACACACAGUUCUGGAUGUUUUCCAUUGGUUGGCUUUCUUUCUUCUUUUUUCCCCCCUGUCCUUUCUUUUUCUCCUCUUGGCCCUGGGAAUUGUAAGAAAAGAAUUGCUUUAGAAAGUAUAAUUCUGUUGGUGACAUUAGCCUUGUUUUAUGAACAAAUUCUGUCACUGGGGAUUUUCUGCAUUGCAGUCCCAGGUUACCUAGUAAAUGGGGCUGCGUGGUUUGAUUUGUGUAGUACUGAUCCUUAGAUUAAAAAUACAUUUUCUUUCUGGCUUGCUUUUUUUUUUUUUUUUUUUUUUAGUUUGGAUUCAGGUAAUGUCCUGAAUCACAUUUGCUUAGCUACUGAAGCGAUCUCAUUGUGGUAUCGCUUGGAUUUGAAAUAUAAUCAAACAUAUAUUAUACCAGGGGCGCCUGCACACUGUUUGAUAUAUAUGUUACACUGCAAAGAAACACAAACCUAAUAGGUUGAAAUUUAAUUCCUGUCUGAUCCUGCAGCUGGAACGGGGGAGAAAUUAUACACAUCAAAAAUGGCUUCAAAUACCCUGAAUGUAAGCUAACCAACAGUAAGUGGCUGGUUUCCAAAUGCCCUUUUCUAAGGCAAAGCAGAAACUGGAGAUCCGCGGACCUCGCCACCAGGGUUGCUCGGGUCUGUCCGGGGGCCUGCCCAUUGCGGAGGGAUUAGGAACAAGGCAUGCCUCUCUGUCUUUUACGGAAACUGUGGUAUUUCUGACCUACGUUCUGUAACUGCCUGCCUUGCAAUAAAACACCUUAA